rnacentral:rRNA from 1 species
UACGUAGGGGGCUAGCGUUGUCCGGAAUCAUUGGGCGUAAAGCGCGUGUAGGCGGCCCGGUAAGUCCGCUGUGAAAGUCGGGGGCUCAACCCUCGGAUGCGGGUGGAUACUGCUGGGCUAGAGUCCGGAAGAGGCGAGUGGAAUUCCUGGUGUAGCGGUGAAAUGCGCAGAUAUCAGGAGGAACACCGAUGGCGAAGGCAGCUCGCUGGGACGGUACUGACGCUGAGGCGCGAAAGCGUGGGGAGCAAACAGG